rnacentral:rRNA from 1 species
GUGGGGAAUAUUGCACAAUGGGCGAAAGCCUGAUGCAGCAACGCCGCGUGAAGGAUGAAGGCCUUUGGGUCGUAAACUUCUGUCCUUGGGGAAGAAAAAAAUGACGGUACCCCUGGAGGAAGUCCCGGCUAACUACGUGCCAGCAGCCGCGGUAAUACGUAGGGGGCGAGCGUUAUCCGGAAUUAUUGGGCGUAAAGAGUACGUAGGUGGUUUUUUAAGCGCAGGGUUUAAGGCGAUGGCUCAACUGUCGUUCGCCCUGUGAACUGGAAGACUUGAGUACAGGAGAGGAAAGCGGAAUUCCUAGUGUAGCGGUGAAAUGCAUAGAUAUUAGGAGGAACACCAGUGGCGAAGGCGGCUUUCUGGACUGUAACUGACACUGAGGUACGAAAGCGUGGGGAGCAAACAGGAUUAGAUACCCGUGUAGUCC